CACUUUUCUUUAUAAAAUUUUAAUCUGAGUUCGUUUUAGUAUAGGGUCCUUAAUAGAUUUCAUUAAAGAGUACCAAGAAGGUACAAAGUAGAAGAUUUCCUUCUACAUGUUGAAGGAAUGCAAAAGAGCUAACAUAGAGUUCAUAUCCGAUACAAUAUUCUUCCUACACCAUAGCAAAUGCAAGUCGGGACUGCCUUCCAAUAUAAUCUGUUGUUCCCAGAGGAUUACUGGUCAUCCGAGCUACUUUGAGGAAGUUUAUGCAACCUGGCAUAACCCAUUUGACUCCAAAAGUUGCUAGAAACAUGGCCUAGAGUUACCUGGUGAAAGUACAAUGGAGCAAUAUACUGUCAAACAAGCCUCAUGAAUGACAAUGCAAGUGAAGCAAGCAGCUUUAGGGGGUGCGAUUGUCUUCCAGAUUAUUCUCCACGGCCAACUAUGACAGUUUCCUCCCAUUCUCCACAAAAGGUUGUUAUAGGCUUAUAGCAUGUCUUAACUGUAAACCUGCCAUCCUUUCUAAAUUUGCACCUCAAUGUGUCAGUCUCCUGAUCAUCAAUGGAUACUGCUUCCAGUUUCUGAACGUGUUAAUACCUUCAAUUACCCAGUCAUAUAAAUUUCUUCUCAAGUAAAGAUUCCAUCCCCAAGUGGAGUAGCAAUCUGCCACAGUACAACUCUUGUUGAUACAAACAUCAGAAAUGUCAGGAAAUUGUUCCUUUAGAGGGGAUCAUCAAGCCAUCUGUCAGUCCACAUCUUCACGCUUUCCACUACUAACCUUCAACCUGACACUAUCAAAGAAUUCAUCUUAGAGGUUCCUAUAUGCUUCCAGACAGCUAAGCCAGAUGCUCCCUUGACACUGUUGGUGCACCAUACCUCACUUUUGCCAUAUUUAACAUAAAUAACAUUCUUCCAACAGUCAUCACUGCUAUCAUUGUACCUUUAAUGUCAUUUUAAUAACAAACUUUUAUUUUGCAAUUCAAAUUCUUCACUCGCAAACCUCCAACUUUUUAAUUCCUUGUUAUGAUUCCCCAAUUCACCAAAUGGAAUUUCCCUUUGUCUUGGUUACCAUCCCACGGAAAGUUUCUUCUUAACCUAUCAAGUUGUUUUGCCACCUUCACUAGCACUGGGAAUAGGGACAUCAUACGGGUGGGGAUUCCAUCCAAUACACUAUUUGUUAGCGUCACCACUGAAAGAGAUGUACUAUUUUUUCCAAGCUGCCAGCUUCCUUUCGGUUUUUUCAGUUACCCCUUGCCAACCAUUAACAUCUUUCCUUCUUGCCCCAAAGGCAUACCAAGUUAUGCGGCAGGGAAAACCUCAAUCUUGCAACAUAAAAUUUCAGCCAGAUUAUGAAUUAUGUGAUCAGCAUCUACGGAGAAGAUACUGCUUUUUGCCAAAUUUACAUGUAGGCUAGAUAUGGCCUUGAAAGCUAAGAGGAUUGCUUUCUCAAGUAUAAGAGUUGCUCUGUCUGUACCACACGGAACAAGGGUAUCAUCUGCAUAAAAAAUGCGAGACACUUCCACUUUGUUUCCAUUCCUCUCUUGUACAUGAAAUCCUUCAAUCCACUUAAAAUAUGCAGCCCUCUUAAGCAUCAGACUCAUAACCUCCAUUGCAAGUAUAAACAGAUAGGGUGAGAGAGGACUGCCUGCCGCAAACCUUUACCUUCAGGUGAGCCAUUAAUAAUGAUGGAUAUUCUGACAGUAGUGACGCAGUACCUGAUCUAUUGAGAGGUAUUAAGUUUUUUAUCAUCCUGGCGUUUGAGCCAUUUUUCCGCAAGAAAUCGCCUACAGUAUCAUCA